AAGCUGGAUUCGCUAGUAAUCGCGCAUCAGCCAUGGCGCGGUGAAUACGUUCCCGGGCCUUGUACACACCGCCCGUCACACCAUGAGAGUUGGGAAUACCCGAAGCCUGUGAGCUAACAUAUGAGGCAGCAGUCGAAGGUAGAAUCAAUGAUUGGGGUGAAGUCGUAACAAGGUAGC
rnacentral:rRNA from 1 species